ACUCAAAGGAAUUGACGGGGGCCCGCACAAGCGGUGGAGCGUGUGGUUUAAUUCGAUGCUAAGCGAGGAACCUUACCAGGGCUUGAAAGGGAGCUGCAUACCGGCAGAAACGUCGGUAGCCUUCGAGGGUGCUCCAACAGGUGCUGCACGGUUGUCGUCAGCUCGUGUCGUAAGAUGUUCCCUUCAGUGGGGUAACGAGCGCAACCCUUAUCGUGUGUUAUUUUUCACGCGAGACUGCCGUGGUUAACACGGAGGAAGGUGGGGAUGACGUCAAAUCAGCGUGGUCCUCUGACGCCCUGGGCGACACACGCGCUACAAUGGCUGGGACAGAGAGUUGCAAACUCGCGAGAGGGAGCUAAUCUUCAAACCCAGUCUCAGUUCGGAUUGGAGGCUGCAACUCGCCUCCAUGAAGCUGGAAUCGCUAGUAAUCGCGGAUCAGCCACGCCGCGAUGAAUACGUUCUCGGGCUUUGUACACACCGCCCGU
rnacentral:rRNA from 1 species